rnacentral:rRNA from 1 species
AACGAACGCUGGCGGCAUGCCUAACACAUGCAAGUCGAACGAAGGCUUCGGCCUUAGUGGCGCACGGGUGCGUAACGCGUGGGAAUCUGCCCUUUGGUUCGGAAUAACAGCUGGAAACGGCUGCUAAUACCGGAUGAUGACGAAAGUCCAAAGAUUUAUCGCCAGAGGAUGAGCCCGCGUUGGAUUAGGUAGUUGGUGGGGUAAAGGCCUACCAAGCCAACGAUCCAUAGCUGGUCUGAGAGGAUGAUCAGCCACACUGGGACUGAGACACGGCCCAGACUCCUACGGGAGGCAGCAGUGGGGAAUAUUGGACAAUGGGCGCAAGCCUGAUCCAGCAAUGCCGCGUGAGUGAUGAAGGCCCUAGGGUUGUAAAGCUCUUUUACCCGGGAAGAUAAUGACUGUACCGGGAAAAUAAGCCCCGGCUAACUCCGUG